GGGGCUGUAGCUCAGUGGUAGAGCACUUGCCUAGCACAUGUGAGGCCCUGGGUUCGAUCCUCAGCACCA
rnacentral:tRNA from 1 species